rnacentral:rRNA from 1 species
AAUGAACGUUGGCGGCGUGGAUUAGGCAUGCAAGUCGUACGGGUCGGUGUAGCAAUACAACGGCAAGUGGCGAAAGGGAGAGUAACACGUAGAUACCUACCCUCUGGUCGGGGAUACCGCGGCAUAACCGCAAGUAAUACCCGAUAAAAUCUCCGGAUCAAAGGUGUGAUUCCGCCGGAGGAGGGGUCUGCGUUCUAUCAGCUUGUUGGUGAGGUAAUGGCUCACCAAGGCUAAGACGGAUACGGGGUGUGAGAGCAUGCCCCCGCUCACUGGGACUGGGACACUGCCCAGACACCUACGGGUGGCUGCAGUGGCGAAUCUUCGGCAAUGGGCGCAAGCCUGACCGAGCGACGCCGCGUGCGGGAUGAAGGCCUUCGGGUUGUAAACCGCUGUCGAGGGGAAUGAAGUGUAGGUGGGUACUCCCGUCUAUUUGACAGAUCCCUGGAGGAAGCAUGGGCUAAGUUCGUGCCAGCCGCCGCGGUAAGAC